GGCCCACGGCGGAGGGAGGGGAGGCCGAGUCCUGGAAGUGGAGCUCCGUGCUGGGACUGGUUCCUUCGUAGCCAUUUUCUGUCCAACCAACCAGCAGCUUGGAGACAGGAGCCAACCAGGGCUGCAUUGGAGGUUAAAAUUGUACAAGGAUCCACCACCUUUUUGACAGGUAUUUGAGAAUACCACUGAUACACAAUACAGUAGUUCAUGACAAUGGAUGGCGACAGCUCUACCACAGAUGCUUCCCAGCUAGGGAUUUCUGCAGACUACAUCGGAGGAAGUUAUUAUGUGAUCCAGCCCCAUGAUGAUACUGAGGACAGCAUGAAUGAUCAUGAAGAUACAAAUAGUUUAAAAGAAAGUUUCAGAAAACAAGAUAUUUAUCUUCCAAUUGCAAAUGUGGCUAGGAUAAUGAAAAAUGCCAUACCUCAAACAGGAAAGAUCGCAAAAGAUGCCAAAGAAUGUGUUCAGGAAUGUAUGAGUGAAUUUAUAAGCUUCAUAACGUCUGAAGCAAGCGAGAGGUGUCAUCAGGAGAAGCGGAAGACAAUCAAUGGGGAGGAUAUUCUGUUUGCCAUGUCCACUCUAGGCUUUGACAGCUACAUGGAGCCUCUGAAACUUUACCUUCAGAAGUUCAGAGAGGCCAUGAAAGGAGAGAAGGGUAUCGGGGGAGCAGUCUCCACUACAGAUGGACUAAGCGAAGAGCUCACGGAAGAGGCAUUCACUAACCCCAGUUAUCAGCUGGCUUAAUAACUGCAGUUGGUCAACAGCAAAACGUUAUGGUUUACACAACGUCUUACCAACAGAUUUCUGGUGUCCAGCAAAUUCAGUUUUCAUGAUCAAAAGGACAGACUGAACCGGGCUUGUGUGGAGAGAGUAUGAUGGAGUCUGAAGCAGAGGCAUGGGAGGAAGUGAGGGUAAAGCUGCCUCCUUGUACUAUAAGUAGCUGUAAUGUAGCUUCCUGAUGCUUGACUAAUUGAGGUGUUAAUUCUGACUUGAGAAUCUUUUUCAUGAAUGAUUUUAAAAGAAAAAAAUUGGAUUUUAAAGGUAUUAAAAUAUUUUUGUUUUGU